GUCUACGUAUACAGCUGCUGAGAUUACACUUAAGGUUGAACUGGAAACACUGAGGAAAGCCAUUUGUGCCAAGGAUAAGGAGAUACAACAGAUGUGCACAGAUAUAAAAGCCGCAAUGAACAAGAUAUGCAACAGUGACAUCCGCAAAAAGCUGAAUUGGAAGAAUGCUUUGGAUGAGAUUGAAAAGGGACAAGACCAUAUCAAGACAGUACUAAAGUUGUGCAAGAAUAGUCAGAUCUUUCCAGAAGCAAUACCACAGGGCCCUGUAAAUGAGACAUGUCAAGAAAAGAAAAAAACAACAAGG